CACGUAGGGGCGAGCGUUGUCCGGAAUUACUGGGCGUAAAGGGCGCGCAGGCUGUUAUGCGAGUCUGCUGUGAAAUGUACCGGCUCAACCGGUGCCUUGCGGCGGAUACUGCAUAGCUGGAGUACUGGAGAUGGAAGUGGAAUUCCUAGUGUAGCGGUGAAAUGCGUAGAUAUUAGGAGGAACACCAGUGGCGAAGGCGACUUACUGGACUGUAACUGACUCUGAGUCACGAAAGCGUGGGUAGCAAACAGGAUUA
rnacentral:rRNA from 1 species